GAUGAACGCUGGCGGCGUGCCUAAUACAUGCAAGUCGAGCGAACAGACGAGGAGCUUGCUCCUCUGACGUUAGCGGCGGACGGGUGAGUAACACGUGGAUAACCUACCUAUAAGACUGGGAUAACUUCGGGAAACCGGAGCUAAUACCGGAUAAUAUAUUGAACCGCAUGGUUCAAUAGUGAAAGACGGUUUUGCUGUCACUUAUAGAUGGAUCCGCGCCGCAUUAGCUAGUUGGUAAGGUAACGGCUUACCAAGGCGACGAUGCGUAGCCGACCUGAGAGGGUGAUCGGCCACACUGGAACUGAGACACGGUCCAGACUCCUACGGGAGGCAGCAGUAGGGAAUCUUCCGCAAUGGGCGAAAGCCUGACGGAGCAACGCCGCGUGAGUGAUGAAGGUCUGCGGAUCGUAAAACUCUGUUAUUAGGGAAGAACAAAUGUGUAAGUAACUAUGCACGUCUUGACGGUACCUAAUCAGAAAGCCACGGCUAACUACGUG
rnacentral:rRNA from 1 species